rnacentral:rRNA from 1 species
AAAGGAUAAGCGCUGAAAGCAUCUAAGCGCGAAGCCUACUUCGAGAUAAGAUUUCCCACCGUAAGGUUAAGACCCCAUGAAGACUACAUGGUUGAUAGGUCAGAGGUGGAAGUGUGGUAACAUAUGUAGCUUACUGAUACUAAUAGGUCGAGGACUUGACCA